AGUUAAUUCCUAACAAAUUCUAAAGUAAAUAUAAGUAAGGAUAGCUCAAAGGAAGGAAAUAAGAUAUAACUUCACAAACAAAACCCGCAAAGAUGGGGAAAAGGCUCAAUAAAUAAUUCUAAGAUAAAGAGAAUAUGGUCAGAGCCAGCAGGAAGAACCUAGUGCAUGAUACAUUCCUCUUAGCUCACUGUAUUGAACUACACAUUUGUGCUUUGUGUUCAGCAGCAGUUACCAGGGGGUGCUAAGUAAUAAUGAUGACACUGAUGGCAUAUAAAUAAGCUGACUUCCACUUCCACUGGCAUUAUUUCCCUACAUACCGGUUGAAUUCAAAUUCAUUUGAUUUACAGAAGCAUUCAUUGAAGCAGAACACUUUGUCUUUUGUUCAAUUUUCAAAAAUUAAAGUAAUUUAAAAUUCCAUUGGGUUUAUAGAUCUUUCAGUGCAAAUUUUGAAGGGAAGUAGAAUGGAGAGUCACAUGUGGCCAUAACUAUACUUAAGUAUAAAUUUAUAUACUCUAUAAUUUUAGUCACAAGGAACAUAUAUAGAAAGUUUGAGGAAUGAAAAUACUGACCUGUGUAGAGUGGAAGGAAAAUGGUUGAGUACAGCUACUUGAGUUUAGGUGUUAGUUGGAUAGAUGGGAAUGGGGACAAUAGCUGUUUUUCCAAAGUCACUGGACAGCAUAAAAACCUUGGAGACAUAGAAACCUAUAGUGAAAUAAGCAAAUAAAUGAUUUGGAUCCUGAUUUG
rnacentral:lncRNA from 1 species